GUGAGGGGCUGGGCCUGCAGCGGGCUUUAGGGAGUGGUCCCUGGCUGUGGGUAGAUCUGCUGCUGAGUCCAGCCCCUGGUCCAUUCUCCUCGCGCUGCAAGGAUGCUCCUGGGAUUUCGGAGAGGCCGCAGGAGCCAUUUCAAACACAUCAUCCAUGGCCUUUUACCUGCAGCCAGCGUUGCUCCGAAGGCAGCUGUGCCACGCACACCUCCUCCCCGCAGCCCCAACCCGUCUCCAGAGAGACCAAGGUGAGUAUCAGAUGAGCAGGCACUGAGGUCACCCCUGUGCUCAGCCUCCAAGUACUGGAUCCUGGAACUGCUCAAACUGCCCAGAAAAGUAUAAGUAGGGUGGUUAGAAUCAUGUCCUUCAAAAUGUUUACCACGAUUCCAUAAUGAUGCAAUUAAUAUGGUGUCUCUGAGGAUAAUGGACUGACUUGAGGUCUCUCCUUUUCAGGUGCAUGAACUUCUCACAUUUCAUGAUUGAAUGCAAUGAGUAUUUUAAAAAAAUGUAAAGCAUUAAAGCCCAAGUAUUCAGGUUAACAGGGAAUUUUGAAUUAUACACAUAAUUUUCUUUCUUUUUUUUUUCCUUGGAGACGG
rnacentral:sRNA from 1 species